GAAAAUCUGAUUCUUUCUACCAUCAAGAACGAGUUGAGAGCUUGGUGUCUCAGUAAAAAACUGUGCGUUAGGAGCUCCUGAGUUCUAAUUGUGAGUCCUUCUGUGACUUUGGGAGCUUCUGGAAGGUUCUCCUUCAUUUGCAGCUUGGACAGAAUGCAGCAUCAUGCAUGGUCACUGGACUGAACAGCCCUGAUCAUGUUUCAUCCUCCUUGACAACAUCCUUUGAAACUAUCAGCCCAAUACACAGAGAACAGUAGUUCAAAACAAAUACACUGAUACCGG